GAUGAACGCUGGCGGCGUGCCUAAUACAUGCAAGUCGAGCGAAUGGAUUAAGAGCUUGCUCUUAUGAAGUUAGCGGCGGACGGGUGAGUAACACGUGGGUAACCUGCCCAUAAGACUGGGAUAACUCCGGGAAACCGGGGCUAAUACCGGAUAACAUUUUGCACCGCAUGGUUCGAAAUUGAAAGGCGGCUUCGGCUUCCACUUAUGGAUGGACCAGCGGCGAAGUAGCUAGUUGGGGAGGUAACGGCUCACCAAGGCAACGAUGGGUAGCCGACCUGAGAAGGGGAUCGGCCACACCGGGACUGGGACACGGCCCAGACUCCUACGGGAGGCAGCAGUAGGGAAUCCUCCGCAAUGGACGAAAGUCUGACGGAGCAACGCCGCGUGAGUGAUGAAGGCUUGCGGGUCGUAAAACUCUGUUGUUAGGGAAGAACAAGUGCUAGUUGAAUAAGCUGGCACCUUGACGGUACCUAACCAGAAAGCCACGGCUAACUACGUGCCAGCCGCCGCAGUAA
rnacentral:rRNA from 1 species